ACGUAGGGUGCGAGCGUUAAUCGGAAUUACUGGGCGUAAAGAGUGCGCAGGCGGCUCUCUAAGACAGGUGUGAAAUCCCCGGGCUUAACCUGGGAAUGGCGCUUGUGACUGGAGAGCUAGAGUGUGGCAGAGGGGAAUGGAAUUCCUGGUGUAGCAGUGAAAUGCGUAGAUAUCAGGAGGAACACCAAUGGCGAAGGCAGUUCCCUGGGCCAACACUGACGCUCAUGCACGAAAGCGUGGGGAGCAAACAGG
rnacentral:rRNA from 1 species